rnacentral:rRNA from 1 species
GAACGCUGGCGGCAGGCUUAACACAUGCAAGUCGAACGCUCGUAGCAAUACGGGAGUGGCAGACGGGUGAGUAACGCGUGGGAACAUACCCUCCGGUUCGGAAUAGCUCAGGGAAACUUGGAUUAAUACCGGAUACGGCUGUGAGGCGAAAGAUUUAUCGCCGGAGGAUUGGCCCGCGUUCGAUUAGCUUGUUGGUGAGGUAACGGCUCACCAAGGCGAUGAUCGAUAGCUGGUCUGAGAGGAUGAUCAGCCACAUUGGGACUGAGACACGGCCCAAACUCCUACGGGAGGCAGCAGUGGGGAAUAUUGGACAAUGGGCGCAAGCCUGAUCCAGCCAUGCCGCGUGAGUGAUGACGGC